rfam:Ovis aries breed Texel chromosome 3, whole genome shotgun sequence.
UCCCUGGUAGUCCAGUGGUUAAGACUCCACACUCACAAUGCAGAGGGAUCAGGUUCAAUCUCUGGUCAGGGAA